rnacentral:misc_RNA from 1 species
CAUUCGCCAUAUGAAACAGAGGUCUUAACGCCAUCAAAAGACUUCAGGUGUUUAAAUAGAGCUUGUAUGAUUGAAGAUCCUGAAAGAGAUUUGAAUCCUGAUGGAUCAGUUUCGGAUCCUUGGAAUCUAUGUAGUGUGGAACGAGUUGAAUCACUCAAGGCUCUUAUUAGAAUACUUCCUAUGUGGUCUACUGGUUUUAUGAUGUUUGUAGACAUGAAUGUAUUUGCAUUUGCUGUACUUCAAACAAAAACCAUGGAUAGACAUAUCUUCCCGCACUUUGAAGUACCAGCAGCAUCAUUCAGUGUGUUCUUGAUUAUUGCUUUAACAAUCUGGAUUACUUUCUACGAUCGUGUUUUGGUCCCUUUGCUAUCAAAAUAUACUGGAAGGCCAAGAGGGCUAAGUCCUGUUACCCGAAUGGGAAUUGGGUUAACAGUCUCUUGUAUGUCUAUGGCAUUGUCAGCAAUAACAGAAAGCAUAAGACGAAAAAGGGCAAUAGCGGAAGGGCAUGAAGACGAUCCAAAUGCUUUAGUAAACAUGUCUGCUAUGUGGUUCGUGCCACAGUAUGCACUACUCGGAAUAGCUGAGGCUACCCAUGGAGUUGGACAGAUUGAGUUUUUCUACACUCUAUUACCGAAAAGCAUGGCAAGCAUCGCGUCAGCUAUGUACACCGUUGGGACUGCUGUGUCGAGUUUGACUGGAAGUAUUCUGGUGAGUAGUGAAGAUUGGCUUACAUCAAGGGGAGGUAAAACGAGCUGGCUUUCGAGCAACAUUAAUAAGGGUCACCUGGAUUACCAUUUCUGGGUGCUUGCUUCUAUGAGUUUUCUCAACCUGCUAUAUUUUCUAGUUGUCUGCCGGUUUUAUGAUACUGGGAAGGAUGAGAUGAGUAGAUCACCUCAUGUGGCUGAUGAGAAAGAAUGCGAUUAUAGACUCUUACAUGAAUCUUGAUGAUAUAUUGUAUUGCAUCCUUGAAUGAUCCAACAACUACUAAUUGAGUUGGACAAUAAAGUUUUUCAUAUGUUAAGACCUCG